AGGGAAUUUUCGGCAAUGGGGGAAACCCUGACCGAGCAACGCCGCGUGAAGGAAGAAGUAAUUCGUUAUGUAAACUUCUGUCAUAGAGGAAGAACGGUGGAUAUAGGGAAUGAUAUCCAAGUGACGGUACUCUAUAAGAAAGCCACGGCUAACUACGUGCCAGCAGCCGCGGUAAUACGUAGGUGGCGAGCGUUAUCCGGAAUUAUUGGGCGUAAAGAGGGAGCAGGCGGCACUAAGGGUCUGUGGUGAAAGAUCGAAGCUUAACUUCGGUAAGCCAUGGAAACCGUAGAGCUAGAGUGUGUGAGAGGAUCGUGGAAUUCCAUGUGUAGCGGUGAAAUGCGUAGAUAUAUGGAGGAACACCAGUGGCGAAGGCGACGAUCUGGCGCAUAACUGACGCUCAGUCCCGAAAGCGUGGGGAGCAAAUAGGAUUAGAUACCCUAGUAGUCCACGCCGUAAACGAUGAGUACUAAGUGUUGGGGGUCAAACCUCAGUGCUGCAGUUAACGCAAUAAAUACUCCGCCUGAGUAGUACGUUCGCAAGAAUGAAACUCAAAGGAAUUGACGGGGGCCCGCACAAGCGGUGGAGCAUGUGGUUUAAUUCGAAGCAACGCGAAGAACCUUACCAGGUCUUGACAUCGAUCUAAAGGCUCCAGAGAUGGAGAGAUAGCUAUAGAGAAGACAGGUGGUGCAUGGUUGUCGUCAGCUCGUGUCGUGAGAUGUUGGGUUAAGUCCCGCAACGAGCGCAACCCCUGUUGCCAGUUGCCAGCAUUAAGUUGGGGACUCUGGCGAGACUGCCGGUGACAAGCCGGAGGAAGGCGGGGAUGACGUCAAAUCAUCAUGCCCCUUAUGACCUGGGCUACACACGUGCUACAAUGGACAGAGCAGAGGGAAGCGAAGCCGCGAGGUGGAGCGAAACCCAUAAAACUGUUCUCAGUUCGGACUGCAGUCUGCAACUCGACUGCACGAAGAUGGAAUCGCUAGUAAUCGCGAAUCAGCAUGUCGCGGUGAAUACGUUCUCG
rnacentral:rRNA from 1 species